rnacentral:lncRNA from 1 species
UUGGAGAAGACCUACUCGGAGAACCAAAUCCACAACUCCAAAGACUCCGGUAUAGACAGCUCUCUGGAGAGUCAGAGGUUCUCCUUGCCGUUGAUCGAGGACGAAGAAGAGACCGAGAACAGCCUGUACGAGCACGAGAUCCACGAAUCCAAAGGCGGGCUCGAGGGCGACCACACGACCGAGUCCUGUCUCUACGAGGAGAUCGUCUUCCGGAAGGACGAUCGCGGCGGGAAAACCCGGACGGACUACUACGACAAGAUCUCCAUCGACAAGCUGAACAUUUGGCCCUGAACAAGUCCAAAGAGGAAGAUUCGUUCUACGACCAGAUCGACAAGUUCGAUCGGUUGAACCAGGACGAUCACUACACGUUGAUCAGCGACUACGAGUCGAACAUCUACGACGACAUCGUCCACGUCAAGGGGGCCGACGAUGGGGACGCGUCCAACUGCUACGAGUCGAUCCGCGAGGGGACGCUGACCAAGUCGUCGAGCCAGACCUCGGACUCGGAUAGUUCUUGGGAGCAUAAUAAUAGUCUCUACGCCCUUCGGCCGCCCUCGCUGCAUUCUACCUCGUCGCUUUCCCUCAACUCAGGAGGCAGGGGGAGCAGAGCCGGAAAAAGCGAGACCAGCGAUGAAUGGGUGGAUCUGGAGCACUCUGACGAACAGCAAGAAAUCCUCGUGUUGCGGGAGCGGUGCCGGCGGCGACCCAGCGUCACCGGGUGGUCCGUGCGGAUGAGACGAAUUCGGUGCCGCAAGUCCGUUCGCAAACACAAGCACUCCGCCUUUGGAGACGAAAAUGGUUCGAUCGAGCAAAACACGUACGUGAAUGUGGAAACCCUCGAGGAGGACUUCAGCGAAGAGGAUUACGAUGACUCUUUCGACUCGGACUCCUCUUUCGAAAGCGAUCAGAAACUGCCCGAAAAGUUGCCGGAGCCACCGCACGCGACGCAGAACAUCUACGGCCUGGUGAAGCAGGCCGGGAAGCGAAUGCGGAAGCACUGGUCGCUGAGCUCGCUGGGGCUCAACCGAAUCCGGAAGAUGAGCAUCGGCGCGGUGCCGUUCCCGCAGCCCCCGAAGGACCCGUACCCGCCCACAUCGGGCGCCACCACCAACGGGGCUGCCAACGGCAACGGCCUCAACCGCCGUCGCUGGUCCUCCUUCAAGAGCAAGUUCCGCAACCCCACGCACUCUACCUCAACCUUCUAUCUCAACGAUGAGCCUGCCGAUGCCACCGCUCCUCCCCUCCCCCUCAGCCUGCCCCCCAGGAGCGAGGAGCUCCCCCUCCCCGCCGAAAGGCCCCCGCCGGACCCUCGUCGCCUCAGCACCGCCAGGCCCAGCUCCCCGCCGCCGCCCCUCCGCCCGUUAGACCGGCAAGAGGUGAAAAGUCUGCUACUAAGCUGCAGAACAAUAAAAUUGAGGCCAAUAAUCCAUCUUGGUAUGCAGAAUUGA